AAUUCNCNAACCUUCUUGGUUUCUUGAUCAAGAUGGCUUUGGANNNUNGNGGCAUUUGCUGGCUUUGUGAAAAGCCAGCUCCUCUUGAAUGCAUUAGUGGGGUCCCCUUUGCCGAUCCCCAGGCGUGAUAAGAUGUUUCUACGUCUUGGGAUUUGCUCUGUUCCUUGGGAACCCGCUUCUAACCGUCUCAUGGAAGACAUUGUUCGAGCUUGCUCGACCCACGAA
rnacentral:misc_RNA from 1 species